AGGACGAACGCUGGCGGCGUGCUUAACACAUGCAAGUCGAGCGAUGAAAUCCCUUCGGGGAUGGAUUAGCGGCGGACGGGUGAGUAACACGUGGGUAACCUGCCUCAUAGAGGGGAAUAGCCUUUCGAAAGGAAGAUUAAUACCGCAUAAGAUUGUAGUUUCGCAUGAAACAGCAAUUAAAGGAGUAAUCCGCUAUGAGAUGGACCCGCGUCGCAUUAGCUAGUUGGUGAGGUAACGGCUCACCAAGGCGACGAUGCGUAGCCGACCUGAGAGGGUGAUCGGCCACAUUGGGACUGAGACACGGCCCAGACUCCUACGGGAGGCAGCAGUGGGGAAUAUUGCACAAUGGGGGAAACCCUGAUGCCAGCAACGCCGCGUGAGUGAUGACGGUCUUCGGAUUGUAAAGCUCUGUCUUUAGGGACGAUAAUGACGGUACCUAAGGAGGAAGCCACGGCUAACUACGUGCCAGCCGCCGC
rnacentral:rRNA from 1 species